GACGUAGGGCGCGAGCGUUGUCCGGAUUUAUUGGGCGUAAAGAGCUCGUAGGCGGCUUGUCGCGUCGACUGUGAAAACCCGCGGCUCAACCGUGUGGUCUGCAGUCGAUACGGGCAGGCUAGAGUCCGGUAGGGGAGACUGGAAUUCCUGGUGUAGCGGUGAAAUGCGUAGAUAUCCGGAGGAAUACCAAAGGCGAAGGCAGUGUCCUGGAGGGUGACUGACGCUGAGGCGCGAAAGCUAGGGGAGCGAACAGG
rnacentral:rRNA from 1 species